CAGUCGUGGCUUAAUGGUUAGAGAGUCGGACGUGUAACCCGAAGGUCGUGGGUUUGAGUCUCAGGAUUGG